AGUGAACGCUGGCGGUAGGCCUAACACAUGCAAGUCGAACGGCAGCACAGGAGAGCUUGCUCUCUGGGUGGCGAGUGGCGGACGGGUGAGGAAUACAUCGGAAUCUACUCUGUCGUGGGGGAUAACGUAGGGAAACUUACGCUAAUACCGCAUACGACCUACGGGUGAAAGCAGGGGACCUUCGGGCCUUGCGCGAUUGAAUGAGCCGAUGUCGGAUUAGCUAGUUGGCGGGGUAAAGGCCCACCAAGGCGACGAUCCGUAGCUGGUCUGAGAGGAUGAUAGGCAACACUGGAACGGAGACACGGUCCAGACACCUACGGGAGGCAGCAGUGGGGAAUAUUGGACAAUGGGCGCAAGCCUGAUCCAGCCAUACCGCGUGGGUGAAGAAGGCCUUCGGGUUGUAAAGCCCUUUUGUUGGGAAAGAAAUCCAGCUGGCUAAUACCCGGUUGGGAUGACGGUACCCAAAGAAUAAGCACCGGCUAACUUCGUGCCAGCAGCCGCUGUAA
rnacentral:rRNA from 1 species